AAAAUAGAAGCUAAAUUUUUUGAUAGUACCAUCUUAGUUUAAUUGCGAUAAAAAAAAAAAAAAAAAGUUAUUUCGCAAAACAAGAUUACAACGUCGAAAAGAUUUCCGAGGAAAAUUAAAAAGUAAUUAAGUAUUUUAAAACUGAAAUAGAUCACUAUCCCCGACAGUCACAGAAUCAAAUGAAGAACAUAUAUAACAAAAUUAAAAAUUAAAAACAACUACGGUGUGUACAAAAAAAUUGUAUAGAUAUAAUGACGACUUUGAGAAUAGGAUCGCACGAAUUCAUAAAAUGAUUAUUUUCAAUAUAUGUAUAAAACAAAAAGAGCUCACACAAUUUAUGGGUAUGCCGCUGGUGUAGAUGGGAAAUUGGAAUGGUAGGAACCAGUUAUUUAAUUUAUGUCUGUACUCAACGAUAAAUCAUAGCUCUAACGUAAUACGAUAUUGAGCAAAGCAUUAUUUGUCGUAUUUGUUCUUGUCAGAAGUUAACUCGGGAAUCAACAAAUAUUACCGGUUUCCCGAAUCAUUAAGUAAACUACAAAGAAAGUCAAAAAAAGAACCUUUCCAAUACAGCAACUAGAUCAAAAACGUUACAAGAAAAUGCCAAUAAAGUUUUUUAUCGAAUCAAAAUUUCUGGUAAAAAAGUUGUUUAAAGACAUACAUAAACACACCCACA